GAUGAACGCUGGCGGCGUGCCUAAUACAUGCAAGUCGAGCGAACGGACGAGAAGCUUGCUUCUCUGAUGUUAGCGGCGGACGGGUGAGUAACACGUGGAUAACCUACCUAUAAGACUGGGAUAACUUCGGGAAACCGGAGCUAAUACCGGAUAAUAUUUUGAACCGCAUGGUUCAAAAGUGAAAGACGGUCUUGCUGUCACUUAUAGAUGGAUCCGCGCUGCGUUAGCUAGUUGGUAAGGUAACGGCUUACCAAGGCAACGAUGCAUAGCCGACCUGAGAGGGUGGUCGGCCACACUGGAGCUGGGACACGGUCCAGACUCCUACGGGAGGCAGCAGUAGGGAAUCUUCCGCAGAGGGCGAAAGCCUGACGGAGCAACGCCGCGUGAGUGAUGAAGGUCUUCGGAUCGUAAAACUCUGUUAUUAGGGAAGAACAUAUGUGUAAGUAACUGUGCACAUCUUGACGGUACCUAAUCAGAAAGCCACGGCUAACUACGUG
rnacentral:rRNA from 1 species